rnacentral:lncRNA from 1 species
AUCCCAAAAGGUAAAUUGAUAAUUUCUGCUGUUGAAAGCAAGGUAUCACUUGCAAAUAGCUCCUCAAGACACGCUUUGGUUUCUGAAUGAACUGUAAUCAGGAUCUUUAUCCUAAAAUAUUCUUUCCUUUCAUUUACACAUUUCAGAAGCAUAAGAUGCUUCUUGAAUGCAUAUUUUGUUGGAAUUCUUCCAAAUAAGUCAUCAAGAAAUACAACAAUUUUGUACCUAGAACGAUGU